GCGGCUCCCACGUAAAUAGGCUUAUUUAAAAAAAUCUUUAUCCUUGCCAUCCUAGACGCUACCAGAUCUUCCGAAAAUAUCGUUGCCUUUUCAAAAUUCCAUUUCCUUGCCAACUUAUUCCAUUCCUUUUCGUCGUUGACCAGUUUAAUAUCCGUGCGGUUUCUUACGUUCUCCAUCGUCUUUCCAAAAAUAGCGUUACACAUCAACUUGUAAAAAUCUUUCUUGAAAUCUGUCGUCGCUUUUUUACGAAGUUUGAUAUUCAUGUGAAUAUAUUCGGCUAACCAUGAUCGUUCUGAAAACAUAACACCAUUAUGAAUUUCCAACAAUUUCAAACCGUGCUCCAAAUAAAAUUUUAAAUUUUUCACAUGAAGAAUAUACCUUUUCUUAUCGUUUAGAUUCGGUGCAAGUUUCAUACCACCGCUUUCCGUUAGUAUCCUUUCCGGAGCAAGCGGAUAGUCGCUAUGAAGAUCGUGAAGUUCCUUCUGAUAUUCCAGGUCCACUUCUAAAAAACAUCCUUUUCCUUCCGGAAGACGAUCCCAUUUUUCCUUUUCUUCUUCCGACAUCCAUUCAAAGUCGGCGUAGGGUAACGGUUGUGUCAUGACGUGAGAAUACAAACCGUUUGCAUCCAAGUACGGAAUGAAUACGGAAUCAUCCUCCUUUCCAUGAUCGCUAAGACAUGUUACCCAUCGCGUCAGAUUCUUUUCG